ACCUGGGUAUACCCAGAAGCUGCACACAGCCAGGCUGGGAUCCUGGAGACCUGCUAAUCCAGGUGUCAUCAGCACGUCCUUUCCUGCCCUUCAUUCCAGGCACUCCGCUCACAGCCCUCUUAACAUUUCUACUCCAACUCUCUGCAUAAUAAAGAUGGAUGUGAUCCUGCAGCCAGCAGCUGAUGCAACUGCCCUAUGAGUUGCAGUACCCUCUGGUUUCCCUCUCAAUAGCCACUUCUUCCUCUCUGCAUUCUUUCAUCUACUGCUGUGCCAUUCAAAGUAGUGGCUCAAAGUGUAUUUUAUCUUGUUUUUCUGCUAAUGGUUCCAAGUCCCUCCAGCUCCCUAAUUAUCAGCACCAGGCUCUGAAUUGCUAUCCUACUUCUCACGUUGAGGUCCAGAUUGAAAGUGAUAUCAUCCUAUGCCACACAGGAGGAUUAUCGUACUGCUGCUCUACUGGGGAUGGAAGCUGCCAACAUGAAGCCGAUUGUCACACUUUCCUCUCUCCAGCAAACAAGGUUUCACCACUAAAACUACUCAUUUUUGUUGUUGUUGUUCUUAUAAAAAAUAAUAUAGCAAGAACCUCUACACAAUGCUUCUGUAGUAUUGACUUUCAUAGCUGUUUUUCAGAAGAGCCAAAAUGAAAAUUGUCAGGCUAAUUUUGUUAUGCAGUUCGUAACUAAUGUGACCACACCUGCUCUUUCCCUUCCCUCCAGUGCUACUGUUUUUGCUGCCUCCUGCUUUCACUGAACAACUGAAAGCUUUUAAAUCAAUAAAAAGUGAGUUUUCACCAGAACAGCUUACAAAUAUCUGAGCUUUCAGAACCACUGCAACAUCAUCCCUCCCCAGCAAAACAGAUGUGAAAAUCUUUGGCAAGCAAGUGCCAGUUCUGCUUUGUUAUAUGUAAACAGAAUGAAAAAGGAAGUGUGAUUCCUGUAUUUGAAUUGCAUGCAACCUGUUUCCUUUACCAAUCAGUAGAGC